rnacentral:rRNA from 1 species
GUAGUUGAAUUUCGGGACCUGUCGGGGCGUCCGCCUUCUGGUGAGUACUGUCACUGCGCCGGGUCUCUUUUUCUGGUGAGCUGGAGUGCUCUUACUGGGUGCACCAGGGAACCAGGACUAUUACCUUGAAAAAAUUAGAGUGUUUAAAGCGGGCAUUUGCUUGUAUACAUUAGCAUGGAAUAAUGAAAUAGGGCGACGGUUCUAUUUUGUUGGUUAUAGGACCAUCGUAAUGAUUAAUAGGGAUAGUUGGGGGCAUUAGUAUUCAAUUGUCAGAGGUGAAAUUCUUGGAUUUAUUGAAGACUAACUACUGCGAAAGCAUUUGCCAAGGAUGUUUUCAUUAAUCAAGAACGAAAGUUAGGGGAUCGAAGACGAUCAGAUACCGUCGUAGUCUUAACCAUAAACUAUGCCGACUAGGAAUCGGGCGAUGUUAUUUUAAUGACUCGCUCGGCACCUUAUGGGAAACCAAAGUUUUUGGGUUCCGGGGGGAGUAUGGUCGCAAGGCUGAAACUUAAAGGAAUUGACGGAAGGGCACCACCAGGGGUGGAGCCUGCGGCUUAAUUUGACUCAACACGGGAAAACUCACCAAGUCCAGACAUAAAAGGAUUGACAGAUUGAAAGUUCUUUCUUGAUUCUAUGGGUGUAAAAUAU